GUGGCGGACGGGUGAGGAAUACAUCGGAAUCUACUCUGUCGUGGGGGAUAACGUAGGGAAACUUACGCUAAUACCGCAUACGACCUACGGGUGAAAGCAGGGGAUCUUCGGACCUUGCGCGAUUGAAUGAGCCGAUGUCGGAUUAGCUAGUUGGCGGGGUAAAGGCCCACCAAGGCGACGAUCCGUAGCUGGUCUGAGAGGAUGAUCAGCCACACUGGAACUGAGACACGGUCCAGACUCCUACGGGAGGCAGCAGUGGGGAAUAUUGGACAAUGGGCGCAAGCCUGAUCCAGCCAUACCGCGUGGGUGAAGAAGGCCUUCGGGUUGUAAAGCCCUUUUGUUGGGAAAGAAAUCCAGCCGGCUAAUACCCGGUUGGGAUGACGGUACCCAAAGAAUAAGCACCGGCUAACUUCGUGCCAGCAGCCGCGGUAAUACGAAGGGUGCAAGCGUUACUCGGAAUUACUGGGCGUAAAGCGUGCGUAGGUGGUCGUUUAAGUCCGUUGUGAAAGCCCUGGGCUCAACCUGGGAACUGCAGUGGAUACUGGGCGACUAGAGUGUGGUAGAGGGUAGCGGAAUUCCUGGUGUAGCAGUGAAAUGCGUAGAGAUCAGGAGGAACAUCCAUGGCGAAGGCAGCUACCUGGACCAACACUGACA
rnacentral:rRNA from 1 species